CGUUGUAGGCCUCUCCAGCAUU
rnacentral:miRNA from 14 species